GCGUGGAUAGCUCAGUUGGUAGAGCGUUAGACUAAAGAUUUGAAGGUCAGGUGUUCAAUCCACUUUCAUUGCA